rnacentral:rRNA from 1 species
GACGAACGCUGGCGGCGUGCUUAACACAUGCAAGUCGAACGGAAAGGCCCUGCUUUUGUGGGGUGCUCGAGUGGCGAACGGGUGUGUAACACGAGAGUAAUCUGCCCUUGACUUUGGGAUAACUUCAGGAAACUGGGGCUAAUACCGGAUAUGAGCUCCUGCUGCAUGGUGGGGGUUGGAAAGUUUCGGCGGUUGGGGAUGUACUCGCGGCUUAUCAGUUUGUUGGUGGGGUAGUGGAUUACCAAGGCUUUGACGGGUAGCCGGCCUGAGAGGGUGACCGGCCACAUUGGGACUGAGAUACGGCCCAGACUACGACGGGAGGCAGCGGUGGGGAAUAUUGCACAAUGGGCGGAAGCCUAAUGCAGCAACGCCGCGUGCGGGAUGACGGCCUUCGGGUAGUAAACCGAUUUCGCCUGUGACGAAGAGUGAGUGACGGUAAUGGGUAAAGAAGCACCGGCUAACUACGUG